rnacentral:rRNA from 1 species
GAUGAACGCUGGCGGCGUGCCUAAUACAUGCAAGUCGAGCGAACAGAUGAGGAGCUUGCUCCUCUGACGUUAGCGGCGGACGGGUGAGUAACACGUGGAUAACCUACCUAUAAGACUGGGAUAACUUCGGGAAACCGGAGCUAAUACCGGAUAAUAUAUUGAACCGCAUGGUUCAAUAGUGAAAGACGGUUUUGCUGUCACUUAUAGAUGGAUCCGCGCCGCAUUAGCUAGUUGGUAAGGUAACGGCUUACCAAGGCAACGAUGCGUAGCCGACCUGAGAGGGUGAUCGGCCACACUGGACCUGAGACACGGUCCAGCCUCCUACGGGAGGCAGCAGUAGGGAAUCUUCCGCAAUGGGCGAAAGCCUGACGGAGCAACGCCGCGUGAGUGAUGAAGGUCUUCGGAUCGUAAAACUCUGUUAUUAGGGAAGAACAAAUGUGUAAGUACCUAUGCACGUCUUGACGGUCCCUAAUCAGAAAGCCCCGGCUAACUACGUG